UCAUAAAAACCGAAUAUAUCCACAUAUCAGUCAACACAUGCCAACAACACACAUGCAAAAUCACAUCCAAGAAAAUCAUCAAUGAACGGGGAAGUACAUCUAUGCGGAUAAAAUCAACAGCACAUCACAAGUUAAUCAAAACAAAUAAAUCAAUAUGUUGAGGUUUGAAAUUGACAUCUAGAGAGUCGCUAGAGUGGUUGCGAAGCUGCUGGAAUGGCGGUGAUAGUUAUGGACAAUGUUGGCCAGGAUUCACGUGCUGCCACCACUGCUAGUGCAUGAAAACACGUGUUGUCGCUAUUAGGGGUGCAUCUUUGGGCAGAUCCAAAGCACCUCCUCUUCCUCUUUCUUCCUAUAUCGACUGUGUUUCACAACGCUGCUUGAGAAGAGAGAUCUAGCUAGGUUUGUCGCUUGCUUUCUCCUCUUUUCUUUGCAUCACUGCCUUGUCUAAUGUUGUUUUCGUUGCUUCUUGUUGUAUUGCUCGGUCCGUCAUGUUAAAACUGGAAAUCAAGUGGUUGACGAUGAGAAAAUCCAAGUGAUGGUGGUUGUUCUUAUGUUUAGGAUGGAGGAGAAGUGGCGUGAGUGUUGUUAUCAAUGGUUGUGGAUCGAGGCUAGUUAGAAGAGACUGGGAACGUGUGGUGGUGCAUGGUUUGGUGGUGGAGAAAGAGGGAAAAGAGGGUUGUUUUGUUGGAAGUACAGGAGAUUUGGCCGGAAAUCACCCAGGUUGCAGGAGAGAGAGAGGGUGGAGCCCCAUUUCUUCUUUUUUUCCAGAAAGAGUUAUUCUUUUCUUUUUUUGUCCAGUCUUUUUUUUUUCUUUGCUCUUUUUUUUCUUCUCGUGAUGUUUUGUUUUUUGGUCUUUCUUUAUAUGUUUUUCCAAUCUCUCUGGUUUUCUCUCUAGUCUCUUAGUGGUGAAUUCUUCUUAGGUUUCUCCACCCAGAAUCUGACCUCGUGAAAGUUUAGGAGACAAGUCCUCCAAUCAUCGGAUCAACCCACCUUCUUAUUUGACAAUUGGGCUUUCUAAAAAAAAACCAAACGACUUGAACUAUCUAGUUCUCUUCCAAAAAGUUUUAUAGCACUCACAAUUUUCUUGGGAUAUGAACUAAUACUUUGAUGGAUUGUCAGAGGAAAGAAACUGCGGCUAUGAAGGACAAACUUGGGAUAGAUUUCCACUGCAAAAUAACUUUCAAUUUCAGCCAAAACGAGAUCUUAUCCAACUGAGAAAUUCUUUCCUCGGCACAUUGUUGAUUAUCCAAGUGGGUUACUUCUAUCAUUGAACUGGGAAUGCAUUUCUAUUAAAAGGGUCCUUGUGGGCAUAGCUUGAAGCUAAUUAUAAAUGCAUAAUGGGUGAAGUCAUCCAAUUUACAGCAGAGGUUCCUUUUCCCAGCAGCUUUGGCCAGCCAGUACGCUACUGCAUUUAUUUUUCCUAUUAAGAAGGGGGUGAAGUCUCCAACUUGCUGAUUUGUAUAUAACCAUUGACACGAUCCAAACAACUGACAGACAUGAACUUGAACUAAGAAAAGAAAUGGAGUAUAACCAAGAGAAAAAAAUCGUUUUAAAGGGCCUUGGGAC
rnacentral:lncRNA from 1 species